rnacentral:rRNA from 1 species
UACGUAGGGUGCAAGCGUUGUCCGGAAUUAUUGGGCGUAAAGAGCUCGUAGGCGGUCUGUCGCGUCGGCUGUGAAAACCCGAGGCUCAACCUCGGGCCUGCAGUCGAUACGGGCAAACUGGAGUGUUGCAGGGGAGACUGGAAUUCCUGGUGUAGCGGUGAAAUGCGCAGAUAUCAGGAGGAACACCCGUGGCGAAAGCGGCUCUCUGGGACGGUACUGACGCUGAGACGCGAAAGCGUGGGGAGCAAACAGG